UGGGUUUCAUGUGCGUUACUAAUAAUAUGAGUAAAAUAUACCUUCAAAAAACGGUAAAAUGUACCCAUAUUAUAAGUAUAGCCACUGUACCCAAAUAUGGGUAAAUGAACUUACCCAUAUUUGGAUGAAAAUUUGUAAGUUAGCAACUUUCUUCUCGCGAUGAUUUAGUGCCCCAGCGCCGCCAUCGUAACACAACCGGAAAAUUUUAGAAGACGUUUUCCCACGUUUUAAAGGCAUCAUCUGGCCAGUCGGUGUCCUUCCAAACACCGGUUUUAAUGACCGAUACCAUGUCCAUUGGACUCCCGCACGGGUACGAGUCGAGGUGCCCAUAAACAUUGAUGUACUGGUUGGUUUGGUGCACGAAAAUACUGCAGAGGAGCAACAAAUCAUCAUGUCCAGCUAGCAAGGCUGCAAAACAAUGGAAUUUUCAGUUCCGUCCCCACCGAGGUUUUAUCAGCGUGAUCAGCAACAACCGGAGGAGUGAAUUACAAUGUUGAUCAUUAGGAAAACUUCAAAGAACCCCAGCCCGAAUCCGAUGUCAGUCCCGAGAUAACAGUCGGCUGUUAUCCAGAAGAAAAUUGAUAAUUUUAGAGUAUUUCAAAUAUGUAAUAGUUUUAAAAAUAAAUAGAAAUAAACUGUAAAAUGAAUGCCAAAUUUUGUAUAAAUGACGUUAUGAAUUUGAUUACUUUUUUAAAAAUAUAAGAAA